rnacentral:rRNA from 1 species
UUCCAGACUCCUACGGGAGGCAGCAGUGGGGAAUAUUGCACAAUGGGGGAAACCCUGAUGCAGCGACGCCGCGUGAGUGAAGAAGUAUUUCGGUAUGUAAAGCUCUAUCAGCAGGAACGAGACAAGACGGUACCUGACUAAGAAGCCCCGGCUAACUACGUGCCAGCAGCCGCGGUAAUACGUAGGGGGCAAGCGUUAUCCGGAAUCACUGGGUGUAAAGGGAGCGUAGACGGCUGUGCAAGCCUGAAGUGAAAGGCGGGGGCCCAACCCCUGGACUGCUUUGGGAACUGUACGGCUGGAGUGCAGGAGAGGUAAGUGGAAUUCCUAGUGUAGCGGUGAAAUGCGUAGAUAUUAGGAGGAACACCAGUGGCGAAGGCGGCUUGCUGGACGAUGACUGACGUUGAGGCUCGAAAGCGUGGGGAGCAAACAGGAUUAGAUACCCCUGUAAC